rnacentral:rRNA from 1 species
CCUACGGGAGGCAGCAGUGGGGAAUCUUCCACAAUGGGGGAAACCCUGAUGCAGCGACGCCGCGUGAGUGAAGAAGUAUUUCGGUAUGUAAAGCUCUAUCAGCAGGGAAGAAAAUGACGGUACCUGACUAACAAGCCUCGGCUAACUACGUGCCAGCAGCCGCGGUAAUACGUAGGGGGCAAGCGUUAUCCGGAUUUACUGGGUGUAAAGGGAGCGGAGGUGGCAUGGUAAGCCAGGAGUGGAAACCCGGGGCUCAAACCGGCGGAUUGCAUUUGGAACUAUCGGGCUGGAGUGCUGGAGGGGUAAGCGGAAUUCCUAGUGUAGCGGUGAAAUGCGUAGAUAUAAGGAGGAACACCGGUGGCGAAGGCGGCUUACUGGACAGAAACUGACACUGAGGCUCGAAAGCGUGGGGAGCAAACAGGAUUAGAUACCCGGGUAGUC